rnacentral:rRNA from 1 species
ACCUGACUGCUAUCGGAUUGGUACUAAGCCAUGUGAGUCAUGUAGCAAUACAAGGCAUACGGCUCAGUAACACGUAGUCAAUCUGCCCUAUGGACGUGGAUAACCUCGGGAAACUGAGAAUAAUCCGCGAUAGAUCAUAAUGCUGGAACGGUUUAUGGUCCAAAUGAUUCGUCGCCAUAGGAUGGGACUGCGGCCUAUCAGCUUGUUGGUGAGGUAAUGGCCCACCAAGGCUAUUACAGGUACGGGCUCUGAGAGGAGAAGCCCGGAGAUGGGUACUGAGACACGGACCCAGGCCCUAUGGGGCGCAGCAGGCGAGAAACCUUUGCAAUGUGCGCAAGCACGACAAGGUUAAUCCGAGUGUUUCCUGCUAAAGGAAUCUUUUGUUAGUUCUAAAACCACUGAUGAAUAAGGGGUGGGCAAGUUCUGGUGUCAGCCGCCGCGGUAAAACCAGCACCUCAAGUGGUCAGGAGGAUUAUUGGGCCUAAAGCAUCCGUGGCCGGUUCUGUAAGUUUUCGGUUAAAUCCACUAGCUCAACUAAUGGGCUGCCGGAAAUACUGCAGAACUAGGGAGUGGGAGAGGUAGACGGUACUCGGGAGGAAGGGGUAAAAUCCUUUGAUCUCUUGAUGACCACCUGUGGCGAAGGCGGUCUACCAGAACACGUUCGACGGUGAGGGAUGAAAGCUGGGGGAGCAAACCGGAUUAGAUACCCGGGUAGUCCCAGCUGUAAACGAUGCAGACUCGGUGAUGCACUGGCUUUUGGCCAGUGCAGUGCCGCAGGGAAGCCGUUAAGUUUGCCGCCUGGGAAGUACGUACGCAAGUAUGAAACUUAAAGGAAUUGGCGGGGGAGCACCACAAGGGGUGAAGCCUGCGGUUCAAUUGGAUUCAACGCC